UACGUAGGGUGCAAGCGUUAAUCGGAAUUACUGGGCGUAAAGCGCGCGUAGGUGGUUUGUUAAGUUGGAUGUGAAAUCCCCGGGCUCAACCUGGGAACUGCAUUCAAAACUGACAAGCUAGAGUAUGGUAGAGGGUGGUGGAAUUUCCUGUGUAGCGGUGAAAUGCGUAGAUAUAGGAAGGAACACCAGUGGCGAAGGCGACCACCUGGACUGAUACUGACACUGAGGUGCGAAAGCGUGGGGAGCAAACAGG
rnacentral:rRNA from 1 species